UUUUGUACUGAAGCAACUCUGAUGGACCAAAACCAAAGUUUUCAAGGCAGACUUGCCAAAUUUGCCAAUACUGAUCUGGAAGUCAAAUAUCCAGGUGUUUUGAAGAGUGAAAAUGCUGGAAAAGCAGGGUGACAGGAUGAGAAUUCCCUUGGCUUUGCUGUGGCAGCUGCUGCUUGGGCUGCACACCCAGCUGAGGAAGCAGCCCAGGAAAGGGUGCUCAGAGUAGUUCCUGCAGCUGAAGAAAGAGCCUACACCAACCCCAGGACUUGCCUGUGGGUCACCACACUGCUUUUGGAGGAGGUUUUUAAGGAGUUGUGAGACUUCAGACUCAAAGGAUUGUGAAAAUCAGGUAUUGCAGGCAAAACAGCUUAUCAGACAACCAGAAUUUGCAGUUUCCAUCUGCCCCAAGCUGAACUUUGGGCUAGAGGAGUAGCUGCAGGCUGCUGAUGUCCUAAGAAGCACAGGGUUUGGGGUCUAUCUGUGCCACAGCACCAAGAGUUCAUUUAUCCCUC